rnacentral:sRNA from 2 species
AAAUAGGCUUUCUAGGGUUCCGUAACAGUAUUCUGUUAGACUGGUCCGAGAGAAAGCUCACAGCUUUCAAAGAAGCUGUGCCACGGAAGGAUAAAAGCCUGGGAGAU